CGAUGGUGCAGGUGAACAUCGCGCCGCCAGCGAGACCUUGCAGAAACCGCGCAGCGAUCAGCACGGAUGCGCUUUGCGCCAGUCCGCACAUCAGCGACGUGAUGCCGGUGCUGGUGAUGAAAACCAGCUUCCGGCCAUACCGGUCGGCGAAGGUGCCGGUCGCCAUCAGCACUGUCGUGCAGGCAAUGGUGUAGGCGUUCAUGAUCCAUUGCAGGUCCUUGAAAUCGGCGGGGAG
rnacentral:misc_RNA from 1 species